GAUCCCAGACCUGGGAUUCAGAUGUCAUUCUCUGUGUGGUGUCCUGAUUUUAUUCCUAGGAAAAGGAUCCCCAAAGGAGGUGUAAGGAUCCUGGACUCUAGUGCCUGCAAGAAGCUUCAGCCACCUUCACAGGCUCAGACUCGCCGUCCAUUAGGAGGUGAAGACUGGAUGGGAGCUGCUGAAUCGACCUUGAUAUGCCAUGUCCUUGUGUGGAUGAAGGACCUACAUCUCAGGGAUGGCCAGCAGCAGAUGUAAGAAUGUGUCCAAGAAUAGUCUGAACAACCUACACUGAUAGAUCUCAGCCACUCAGCAGAAUGCGGGAGAGCCGAGUGCUGAUGG